rnacentral:rRNA from 1 species
UACGUAGGUGGCAAGCGUUGUCCGGAAUCAUUGGGCGUAAAGCGCGCGUAGGCGGCCCGGUAAGUCCGCUGUAAAAGUCCAGGGCUCAACCCUGGAACGCCGGUGGAUACUGUCGGGCUAGAGUCCGGAAGAGGCGAGUGGAAUUCCUGGUGUAGCGGUGGAAUGCGCAGAUAUCAGGAGGAACACCGAUGGCGAAGGCAGCUCGCUGGGACGGUACUGACGCUGAGGCGCGAAAGCGUGGGGAGCGAACAGG